rnacentral:rRNA from 1 species
AUAGGAAAUUGUUAGUGGCAGACGGGUGAGUAAUGCGUAGGAAUCUACCUAGUAGUACGGAAUAGCCAUUAGAAAUGGUGGGUAAUACUGUAUAAUCCCCGAGGGGGAAAGAUUUAUCGCUAUUAGAUGAGCCUACGUUAGAUUAGCUAGUUGGUGAGGUAAUGGCUUACCAAGGCUAUGAUCUAUAGCUGGUCUGAGAGGACGAUCAGCCACACUGGAACUGAGAUACGGUCCAGACUCCUACGGGAGGCAGCAGUGGGGAAUAUUGGACAAUGGGCGAAAGCCUGAUCCAGCUAUGCCGCGUGAGUGAAGA